ensembl:misc_RNA Y_RNA Y RNA
GGCUGGUCCAAGUGCAGUGGUGUUGACAACUAAUUGAUCACAACCAGUUACAUAUUUCUUUGUUCCUUCUCCACUCCCACUGCUUCAUGUGACUUGCCUUAA